UAACAGCAUCAGCGCCAUCUAGCGCAUGUUAGCGGUUAUUUGUAGAACCAGUAGGUGGCACUGUUAGAACUUUUGCGUUUCUUCUUUAGCUUACUAGAUGUCACAGUUGCUGUUUAACGAAGACUAGGCACUAAAAAGGCGGAAAUGUCGCUAAAAUAUGAAUUUUACAAUUUUAAGGAUAUAUCGCAGCUUAGUAUGUAGUUGUGCAAAACAGUAUAAUAAUUCAUAUAAAAUGCAGUUGAAAAUAAUCAUAUUUUGCAAAAGAAAAUACGAUUUAGCAAAGUUUUUGUUUUUGUGGAAAUAUUUGACAUAAAUGGCAACUGUCAAACAAAGCACAGAAAACAAUUUGGACAAUAAGGAGAACGAGAUUUCAGGAACUUGACAUUAACAAACAAGCAACUGUUUGCGUAAGUUCAGCUGUAUCUAAUAAGAGUAGCUCGUCGGCAAAGCAAGUACAAGCAAAAGGUAGCCACAGAUAUCUAUAAAACCGGGAUGGAUUUGCUUGUAGGAAGUUUCCGAGGAGUACUUCAAAAGCCAGCGGUAUUCAGAGAAUAUUCUAUUGAAUUCAAGAACGCUAUUUUUUUAAAUCGUUAGUUCCUAAUGCAACCGGUCAUUUGGUCAGUUGAAACAUAUUAAUCAACAACAGUGAUUCUAUUCUUAAUUUGGCUAUGUAAUAUUCAAUUAUUUUUAUAUCAGAAUACGCACAUGUAAGAAACAGGUGACUCACUCAAAUUGAAAUAAACAUCGAUCAAAACAACAUGUGCAAAGCGGUCAGCAAAAACGUCAUCAGAAAAGUGCUGACAUAUACAACUGUAAAAUUUUCAAUUGCUGGACGACUUCAAAACCAACAUUUUGUGCUUCUGCUUCCUAUUUUCUAUACUACAAUCAGAAAACUAAAAGUUGGGUCAUUGCCAUUGCCAUAAGUUAAGCGCCUGACCAUAUACUAGCAAGCUGCUAAGCGCCCACUUUACACGAAAUUCUGUCAAACUAACACACCAAGAACAACAACAUGCUGCAUGAUAAUGUCUGGGAAAUCGAAAAUGCUGAAUUUGCAACAAAUUCCCGUCAGACCGAGCAUGACUGGAUGGAUACGCACUGAUAAUGAACGUAUGAUAAUGAACAUGAUUUUGUGCCGACUUAUUUGUUAUUGUAGUGGCAAUGGCUUUGCACGAUUUCAUAAUAUUAGCAGUGAACUUUAUGGGUGAGUGAACCAUGUGGUGGGCCCGUGUAAAGAACAACACACUAAAAAGAAUGAAAAGUAGAAAAACAAACCUUUGUGGCUCAGACAUUCUUUAAAUAUUGAAUUAUGAAUGCAAUCACUCGAUGGGUUAAUACCAUUACGAUUUUUAUGUGCGAAAGUCAUUAUACUAAUCAAACGUAGAUACCGUCAUAGAUACAUAUUGACUCAGCGGUUUGUUCGUUGCAAAUGUUUUAUUAAAAAUUAAAUUUUUCAAAAAUAACGACAAAUUGUUGGAGGAACUCGGUCAAAUACCCAUUGAUGAUGUAAACAGCUGUUUCGGUGAGAUUAUUGGACUUGCAUGUAUGAUCAGUACAAUUCUACAACGUUUUCCGAGCAGAAAGUGAACAUAUUGACUAGGAAUCUUUUCUAGAGAUGAUCCAAAAUCUUGUAGAAUCUUGUUUUCCAACCGUUCUGUUAGGUUCUUUGGUGGAACAUCAAGAUGAGGAACAACAGAAGACAGUCCUUUGUGAAACUCCAAUAGUCUUGUUCUUGUUCUUCAAGGAAACAUUGAGAUGAUUAACCACAUUUUCUUCCAAGACACGAAAGUCCUAUUGAAUGUUGUCCUGAUGUUAGCUGGGUUUGGAAUCUUCUUUAUCUCUAUGUCUUCCAUUUAGUUCAAAGUGUAACUUGUAGACUCAUUUGCGAUUUCAAGGUUAACUUAUAUUGGGUGUUUGUGACGGUUCCAAGAAAUACAAGAUUGACUCCCUUUCAUUUUCUGACAUAUUAAAUACAUAUACAAACAUGAGUACGAUUAAAUUUCUUCGCAUUGCAUUCGAAUACGACACACAGACACAUCAAGAACACCAACAACUUAAUCAACAAUCAACUGCUGUCUCCGUAGCUCCGUAGCCUUGGCUCGCAUUUCGUCUGGGAAAUCGCGAAUAUUUGAAAUCGCCUUUGGACUACUGUCUUCUACUACAAUUACGACGCGUCUUCUGUUUUCACUGCGUUCAUUCGGCAUUGGUUUAUCAGUGAGAGCAUUCGUCAUGUUUUUGUCCUGCUUUUGCUUCACAUUGACCCACAUCUGGGUCCAUUGUACAGCGAACCAGGCCAAUAAACACACACGACUCUUCACAUAUGUAUCUAUGUAUGCAUGUACAUAUGCAUUACAAAAACAACAAACUACAAAUCAAAAUUGGAGCAUAACAAACCGAUGAAAAGGGCGUGAUAGGAGAGACAGUGAGCGGAGUGGAGGGAGGCGCGUUGUCAGACUGCUGAAGAGACGGUGUACUGUCAAAUUUAGAGAAUUUAUUUGUUUUCAAAAACAAAAGGAAAUUGUGUCAAUGUCUUUCAUUAUCACAGGCCUAGUGUUGACUUAAAUGUUUCGGUGACUUUUGGGCUAUCAUCUUUGCCACGGGUGGCUAGAUCGCUUUGAUGCAAUUUCUUAGAUGUGACUUAUUUCGUAGUUCAUCGGUACUACCAAGCCGUCAAGGUCGUCUUCGGGGUUGGACAAGCUCUUUGUGACCAAAGAGACUGGCAUACUUUCCAUCAUAAUACGAGCUUGUGUUUGCUUACCAAAGGGAUUAUUGGUUCCCGAUUUCUUAUGUCUUAUAUGGAACCAAUGUUAUAUCAGCGGCGAACGCUUUAGAUAAAUGUUCCGUAUUUCUUUCCGUAGGACUAAUUUUUUGUGGAUUAUGUGAAGACGAUAGUUUAUAUAUUAAAAAAAGUUAGGUUAUGUCGAUAUGAAACUGUUCCAGUCAUAUUAACAGACUAUUACUUCUUCGGAUACCAAAUAAAUUUCGUAAUGAAGUCUAGCCUUUUU